AGCGUACCCAAUUAAGGUAAUCUGGCAGUGCCCCAUUUCUAUAGGUAACCAUCUGCGAUUAUUGGUAAAUCCUUAUGCACUAGAAAUUAGGAAGGGCACUCUUAAAAUAUAUUUUUAAUUAUCCCACAAAAUACCGCAAACUACUUUGAUAACUGCGCUCUACAAUCAACUCUCGAUUUUCUGCGCAUACAUUUAUCGGGUUGCGUAAAAGAUGGAGACGACGGCAUUUACCUACUACGGCUUUUUAUUUCUUCAACAACCCAGCAGCUGAAUGUGGCUAAGUAUCAUUUUACUAUCUAAAUUACUAUUGAUAUUGCUAGUGUUCUAAAUAUCUGGGCUGUGAUCUGCUCAAUAUAGUUUCUGCUAGACUUCAGAAACAAAAGGAAGGGUUAAAUGUAAGUGUGCUUAUUCACGUAUUAUCAAAUGGUAUAGCUGUUUAGAAAAGUAAAGUUAAUUGUUGCGCAAAUGCUACCAUAAACCUUUGACUUUUGAAUAAAUCAAACUAAGCACAAGGCAACUAAGAUACGUGGUGACCAAGAACUCUUAUAUUGAUGUUCAGUUUAUUAUUGGUGAGGCAGUGAUGUAAAGCGCGUUGUGUUGUUUUUAAAUGGAUGAAUGUUGUGCUAACAGACGGGGGGAAACUCCAGGCCUUGCAGUCCUGAUCCUGUAUGAUGCAGAAGAUGUCAAUCCAACCGCACAUUGAUCUCUGCAGCGUGGUCGGUGGGAGGAGAUGUGGCCGAGCUGUUGAACCAGGCUCUAUCGGUACCCGAUGCCCUUGGCUGAUGGAGGAACUGCAUCUGGAGGACGACCAUGAAUCUACCUGCCAACAGGUGGUACUGGUUUGCACUGGUUUGCAUGAACUGAACAUGGUGGACAUGAGGCAAAUCCCCUGCUGUUUGCCCCAGACCAGGACUGGGUGAUGGAGGGGUGGUGAUGGAGCCGUGCUGAGGACCCGCUGGUGAAGGACGUCCCUCGUGGGGGGGCAAGGACAGCCGACCCUGAGGUGAUUAUACCUUACACUGCCACCUCAAUGUGAAGGA